rnacentral:ncRNA from 1 species
GCCGAACGUCACGGGAGUCCCGGGAGCAGGGACUGAGAGUGGGCGCCGACACCGAACGCGGGUGUCCCGGCCCUGACCGUCACACCUGAUCCGGGUCAUGCCGGCGAAGGGAGCAGGAGAGAUGUCCCC